rnacentral:rRNA from 1 species
AUUGAACGCUGGCGGCAGGCCUAACACAUGCAAGUCGAGCGAGCGGCGGACGGGUGUGUAAUGUAUGGGGACUGCCCGAUCGCGGGGGAUAACUACUGGAAACGGUGGCUAAUACCGCAUACUACAGGAUAACCCAUAUGGGAUUAGCUAGUAGGUGGGGUAAAGGCUCACCUAGGCGACGAUCUCUAGCUGGUCUGAGAGGAUGGUCAGCAACACUGGGACUGAGACACGGCCCAGACUCCUACGGAGGCAGCAGUGGGGAAUAUUGCACAAUGGGCGCAAGCCUGAUGCGACCAUGCCGCGUGUAUGAAGAAGGCCUUAGGGUUGUAAAGUAAUUUCAGCGUGGAGGCGUUACCCGCAGAAGAAGCACCGGCUAACUCCGUGCCAGCAGCCGCGGUAAUUC